rnacentral:rRNA from 1 species
CAACCUGCCCUUCAGAGGGGGACAACAGUUGGAAACGACUGCUAAUACCGCAUAAUGUAUCCGGGAGGCAUCUCCUGGAUACCAAAGGAGAAAUCCGCUGAUGGAUGGGCUCACGUCUGAUUAGCUAGUUGGUGAGGUAACGGCUCACCAAGGCUGCGAUCAGUAGCCGGACUGAGAGGUUGAACGGCCACAUUGGGACUGAGAUACGGCCCAG